UUCACACCUACUUGUGACAUAGCUCUAAUGGAAUCAUUGUGUUAUUUGUGCUAUAAGAAAUCUUCCUGAGUUCCCUUAAAAAAGAAAAAGAAAUCAUCCUGAGUUCCUGAGGAACAUAAUUAGAUUCAUUACCCAUAUUACAAUUUCAGAAUUAGAUGUACCUUUGUCCUAUAUAGUUGCAAUUAUAGAAUAAUCGGUAGUCCACAAUAGGUGGUUUGACAAAUCAAUUAUACGAACUAAUAAUAAUAUAAUACUAUUAGAUUAUAUCAGAACGAUGAAUCGGUCAUCUAUACCAACAAUAAAAUAAAGUCCUGAUUAAUUUCCUUCACACGAAACUAUCUACAAUCGAAUUAUACGCAAAUGGCGAGGAUUUCUUUUGCCUUCUUCAUUAUCAUGAUAUUGGUGAUUUUUUCAACUUUAUCAGCUACAACAUUAGCAAGACCGGUUGAGACAACUACAUCAACAACAUGCCGACGCGGUAACGAAAUUUGUGGAGGUUUUGGUGCAUUUUCCUGCUGUGAAGAAUUCAUUUGUGUUCUUGAAAGUGAUUUCGAUGGUGCAAAUGGAGUUUGCAUGCCAAGUCUUCGUUAUUAAGCCCGUACUUAUUAUUCGUCAAUUUGGUGUAUAUACAUUAUACAUAUAUAUAGUAUGUGUCUAUUUUCUUUUUUGAUUCAAAUGAAGCUACACCAAAACAACAGCAAAAAACAACAAAAAGGAAGUUACUUAAUUGCAUCUAUAUUUGGCUUUGAUUUGUGCAAUGAAUUUUUGAUUAUUUUAUUUAUAACAAAGGGUUUAUUAGUUUCUUUUGAUUUAA